CUUGAGCGGGGGACAACGAGCCGAAAGGCUCGCUAAUACCGCAUAAGUUCCUCUGGUCUUCGGACCGGGGGAGGAAAGCUAGGUAGGUCGCAAGAUCUGUCCGGCACUCGAGGCGGGGCCUGCGUCGCAUCAGCUAGUUGGUGGGGUAAUAGCCUACCAAGGCAAAGACGCGUAGCUGGUCUGAGAGGAUGAUCAGCCACACUGGGACUGAGACACGGCCCAGACUCCUACGGGAGGCAGCAGUGGGGAAUAUUGGACAAUGGGCGCAAGCCUGAUCCAGCCACGCCGCGUGAGUGAUGAAGGCCUUCGGGUCGUAAAGCUCUGUGGGGAGGGACGAACCGCCUCUGGUUAAUAGCUAGUGGCAUGACGGUACCUCCUUAGCAAGCACCGGCUAACUUCGUGCCAGCAGCCGCGGGUAAUACGAAGGGUGCAAACGUUGCUCGGAAUCAUUGGGCGUAAAGCGCACGUAGGCGGCCCGCUAAGUCGGAUGUG
rnacentral:rRNA from 1 species